rnacentral:misc_RNA from 1 species
GAUGAAGAACGUAGCGAAAUGCGAUAAGUAAUGUGAAUUGCAGAAUUCAGUGAAUCAUCGAAUCUUUGAACCCACAUUGCGCCCGCCAGUAUUCUGGCGGGCAUGCCUGUUCGAGCGUCAUUACAACCCUCAGGCCCCCGGGCCUGGCGUUGGGGAUCGGCGGAAGCCCCCUGCGGGCACAACGCCGUCCCCCAAAUACAGUGGCGGUCCCGCCGCAGCUUCCAUUGCGUAGUAGCUAACACCUCGCAACUGGAGAGCGGCGCGGCCACGCCGUAAAACACCCAACUUCUGAAUGUUGACCUCGAAUCAGGUAGGAAUACCCGCUGAACUUAAGCAUAUCAAUAAGCGGAGGA